AUACGGGGGGUGCAAGCGUUAUUCGGAUUUAUUGGGCGUAAAGGGCGCGUAGGCGGCUUGGAAAGUCAGAUGUGAAAGCCCGGGGCUCAACCCCGGAAGUGCAUUUGAAACUAUCAGGCUUGAGUAUGGGAGAGGGAAGUGGAAUUCCUGGUGUAGAGGUGAAAUUCGUAGAUAUCAGGAGGAACACCGGUGGCGAAGGCGACUUCCUGGACCAAUACUGACGCUGAGGCGCGAAGGCGUGGGGAGCAGACAGGAUUAGAUACCCCAGUAGUCC
rnacentral:rRNA from 1 species